CCUACGGGAGGCUGCAGUGGGGAAUUGUUCGCAAUGGGCGCAAGCCUGACGACGCAACGCCGCGUGGAGGAUGAAGGUCUUCGGAUUGUAAACUCCUGUUGACCGGGACGAACGGGCUCCGGGCUAAUACCCCGGGGCAGUGACGGUACCGGUUGAGGAAGCCACGGCUAACUCUGUGCCAGCAGCCGCGGUAAUACAGAGGUGGCAAGCGUUGUUCGGAAUUACUGGGCGUAAAGGGCGCGUAGGCGGCCUUCUUAGUCGGACGUGAAAUCCCCGGGCUUAACUCGGGAACUGCGUCCGAUACUGGUUGGCUUGAGUUCGGGAGAGGGAUGUGGAAUUCCAGGUGUAGCGGUGAAAUGCGUAGAUAUCUGGAGGAACACCGGUGGCGAAGGCGGCAUCCUGGACCGAAACUGACGCUGAGGCGCGAAAGCCAGGGGAGC
rnacentral:rRNA from 1 species